rnacentral:tRNA from 1 species
GGAUGGGUGGCCGAGCGGUUUAAGGCACCGGUCUUGAAAACCGGCGUAGGUGCAAGCCUACCGUGGGUUCGAAUCCCACCCCAUCCG